rnacentral:rRNA from 1 species
CCUACGGGAGGCAGCAGUGAGGAAUAUUGGUCAAUGGGCGAGAGCCUGAACCAGCCAAGUCGCGUGAAGGAUGAAGGAUCUAUGGUUUGUAAACUUCUUUUAUAUGGGAAUAAAGUGAGGAACGUGUUCCUUUUUGUAUGUACCAUAUGAAUAAGCAUCGGCUAACUCCGUGCCAGCAGCCGCGGUAAUACGGAGGAUGCGAGCGUUAUCCGGAUUUAUUGGGUUUAAAGGGUGCGUAGGUGGUUAAUUAAGUCAGCGGUGAAAGUUUGUGGCUCAACCAUAAAAUUGCCGUUGAAACUGGUUGACUUGAGUAUAUUUGAGGUAAGCGGAAUGCGUGGUGUAGCGGUGAAAUGCGUAGAUAUCACGCAGAACUCCGAUUGCGAAGGCAGCUUACUAAACUAUAACUGACGCUGAGGCGCGAAAGCGUGGGGAGCAAACAGGAUUAGAUACCCGAGUAGUC